ACCCAAACCAAAGAGAGCUGAAAAGGAAAGAGAAGAGAGAGAGAGAGAGAGAGAUAGAGUGAAGAGAGAGAGAGAGAGAGUGAAAUGGAGUUCCAUUUCAACACAAGCAGAGCGGAAGCGGAGCGGUGGCUGAGCACGGCGGUCAAGCUACUGACGACACGUGACCUGCACGGGACCAAGAGCUUCGCGAUCCGAGCCCGAGAGUCCGACCCGAGAUUGGAGGCCACCGAGCAAAUAAUCGCCGUUGCCGACACGCUUCUCGCCGGCGACUCCCGGAUCAGCGGCCACAGCCAGCAGCCCGACUGGUACGCGAUCCUGCAACUCACCCACUACACUCAGAACCUCGAACUCGUUGCGACUCAGUACCGCCGACUCGCUCUCCUGCUCAACCCGCACCGGAACCGCUUCCCGUACGCCGAUCACGCCUUCCGGCUCGUCUCCGAGGCCUGGAACGUCCUCUCUAACCCUUCCAAAAAGGCCCUCUAUGACCACGAGUUGAGCAUGUUCAACCGGUUCGACUCGGCCCCCUCCGGGUCGACUCAGUUGUUCGAGAGGCAAUUCUUGCAAAUGCAUAAUGUGCAACAGCAAGCACCGCAGCCGCCGCAACCGCCACCACCGCCACCACCGCAACCACAAACACUACAUUUCCAGCCUCCACCACCACCAUCACAAGAAGUACAGAGAGCACAACAUCAAUUUCAUCUACAUCAAUUAAGACAAGAGCAGCAGCAGCAGCAGCAGCAGCAGCAGCAGCAACAGCAGCAACAACAGCAACAACAGCUUCAACAACCACCACAGCAGCAGCACCAGCAGCAGCACCAGCAACAGCCACCACAGCAGCCGGAGCCGCAGCAGCAGCAACCGGUGAGGAAAAGCCCUAGGAGUAAGGAUGGAAGAGUGGCGAUGGAGGAGGAAAGGCCGAGUCUUAACAAUGUGACCGAGUCGACUGCUCCUCCCUCAGAGUCAACUCGCCCUGUUGAGGCAUCUCCCCCUUCUGAGUCGACUCGACCGGAAUCGGAGCCCCGAACGGAGAGUUUCUGGACUGCAUGUCCCUACUGUUAUAAUCUCUUUGAGUAUCCGAGCGUUUACGAGGAUUGCAUGCUUCGGUGUCAAAAUUGCAAGAGGGCGUUCAAUGCGGUGGUGAUAGAGGCACCGCCUGUGACGGGGAGUGACGGUGAGGUCAACUUCUGCUGUUGGGGGUAUUUCCCGUUGGGGUUUGCCGAGAAUGGUAAAGAUACAGGCGGGUCAGCUGAGUGGACGCCGUUUUCGACCAUGUUUGCUUGUCCAAUACAAGGGAAGAAGAAGAAUGCUGGACGAACUAAGAAAGCUAAUUCAGGGCCGAGGGUCUAUAUUGACGAUGAUGAGGCGUUGUUUGAUAUUUCGGAUUCUAGUGAGGAAUCUGACGAUGAGUGGCAGACGGAUAGGAGGAAAAAGAGGGCAGUGAAAGCAAAAGGUAAAGCUUCAGUGGCUAAAACUCCAGUGAGGGCUUCGGAUAGAAUAAGGAAGGGUAAUCAAAAUGUGGGUGGGCAGGGGAAGGUAGGAAGUGGUGGGAGUUUGGGUGUUGGGUCUCUGUCGAAGCCGGAGUCGAGUAAGAAGUCGAGUUCUAGUGCAAGAAAGAGAGGUGCAGCUGCUUUGGGGAAGUUGGAUUUGAAUGUGGAGUUCAGUAAUAAUGAAGUGGAAGAGCCUGCAGCUCAGACAAUGAGUGAAGGGAAUGGGACUGCAAACGGGGAGGAGGAUAACAUUGAAGGGAUUGGGUUUUUUGAGGGUCUUGAUGAGUUUUUGAGUAGUCUGCCCAUACUUAAUGUUGUGGGUGAUGACAAGGUUAAGGCUAAUUAGUGAAGUAAGGGAUCAACUAUAAUAUUGUAGCAUAAAAGGUAGCAAUAGCUAAUGGAAGAAAGCAACACAAGGAGCAAGCUCAAGGAUAUCUGUGUGUAUUGGGAAAGCAACUUCGGACACAGAAAAGUCUUCGGUGACGCUGCUCUUGAGUUCAGCAAUAAACUGGUGAUUCAGACGGAUAUGAAUUAGAGGAAUUUUCACAAUUAUAAAGAGGAGGGUUUGAGGGGUGGAGAAUCUUUGAGAGACGAUGAGAUUCCUAUGGCAUUGCUUUCUAUUUAGGGGUCUUUGUCUUUCCACUAUUAUCCUAGUUUGGAAAACAGCUGCAGAUACUACAAGGCCGGUGGAUUUGUUGCGGAGACGUACUCUUUAGAGCAAAAACCCGUCUUGUGAAGCUCAUGAAGUAGGGAAUAGGCAUUCUGUGGUUCUUGUUAACCAAAAUGAGAAUGAUGAUCUUAAGAUGAAAUAAAGGGAAAGUGGGAACUUGUAUUGAUUUGAAAAAUGAGUUUCCGUUAAGUUUGAGUGAUGUUGAUUAUGUUCGUCUCCGGCUCAUUCGGUCGGAAUCAAAUUUUCCUUGAAACCUUCAUAACUUGUGGGAACAAAGAAACAACACAGGCAAACCCAAAAGGGCACAAAAACAAAACGAGAGAAAGAACUAGCCGAACUACAACCAAAGCGUAGCAAAGAAGAUCUUCCUCAAUCUAACAACAAAUCUACAAACAAAGCCUAGCAAAGAAGAUCUUCCUCAUUCUAACAACAAAUUACCCCGGUGGGUUCGGGAGACAAUCAGAAAUCAACCCUUGAACCAGAGACGGAAGUGGCGUAACUUAGCAGUUCACCGCUCUCAGCCCAAUCCUUGCCGCCCUUGCUGCCUCAUGGGCAGUACGAUUCAUGUCUUGGAAUCCAGCAGCACUCAACAUGUCUUGGACUCCAGCAGCACUCAACUUGCUGAAAACCUGCCGCCAAUCUUCUAAUCUCAUUGAUCAGAAGAAAUAAGGUUCAUGCCCUGUUUUCCACACAGCCAUUCACAGUCACUAGUGCCUCAGCAAUCAAAGCAGACCGUUUU